rnacentral:rRNA from 1 species
UACAGAGGUCUCAAGCGUUGUUCGGAUUCAUUGGGCGUAAAGGGUGCGUAGGUGGCGCUGUAAGUCAGGUGUGAAAUUUCGGAGCUUAACUCCGAAACUGCAUUUGAUACUGCGGUGCUCGAGGACUGGAGAGGAGACUGGAAUUUACGGUGUAGCAGUGAAAUGCGUAGAGAUCGUAAGGAAGACCAGUGGCGAAGGCGGGUCUCUGGGCAGUAACUGACGCUGAGGAGCGAAAGCGUGGGGAGCAAACAGG